rnacentral:misc_RNA from 1 species
GAUGAAGAACGUAGCGAAAUGCGAUAAGUAAUGUGAAUUGCAGAAUUCAGUGAAUCAUCGAAUCUUUGAACGCACAUUGCGCCCCCUGAUAUUCCGGGGGGCAUGCCUGUCCGAGCGUCAUUACAACCCUCAAGCUCAGCUUGGUGUUGGGCCCCGCCGCCCCGGCGGGCCCUAAAGUCAGUGGCGGUGCCGUCCGGCUCCGAGCGUAGUAAUUCUUCUCGCUCUGGAGGUCCGGUCGUGUGCUCGCCAGCAACCCCCAAUUUUUUUCAGGUUGACCUCGGAUCAGGUAGGGAUACCCGCUGAACUUAAGCAUAUCAAUAAGCGGAGGA